rnacentral:tRNA from 4 species
GCCGGAUUAGCUCAACAGGCAGAGCACCUGUCUCGUAAACAGGUUUCGCGCAGGUUCGAGUCCUGCAUCCGGCUCAA